CUGAUUAUGGAGAUGUUGAAAUGUUAAAAAAAAAAAAAAAAAGUGUGUCUCAGAAUUGAUGAAAUGUGGUAUUUUCAUUUCUUUGAAUAACAGACAGCUUAUACUUCUUUAUUAUAAAGUUCGUGAGCCAUAGAGAAGACAUUUUAAAAAUAAUUAUGCCUGCGAAGCCUGCUCAAUUAAUGGUGAUUCUCUGGGACACCGUCCUCCACGCAGACACGGACAUUCGACCUGAGCAGAGGUAGGACAUCGAAAUGUACGCUGCAUUUCCUUUCUAUGGUUUUAAGAGCGCAGAGCUAGCCCUCCACGGUGGAAGGCAGUCCGUUCACUGGGAUGUAAUGGAUUUUUUAAAGUCCAGAUUGAAGGCAGUAUCCCUUCAUCGUGAUGGAAGGAAUUUAAAACUUUCUAGUUGGGAAGACAAAUGAAAAGCCUCGUAAUGAGGUUAAAGUCAAGGAUGCAAAAGAAACCUACCCCCACAACCACAUAAAUGGUAUGCUAAUGUGUGUGUGUUGCCUCAGACACCACAGUGACUAUCUUUGUAUGAAGUAUAAAGCAGACCAAUUCAGACAAAAAUGAAAAUGUACCAGAAAAAAAUAAUUUGGACCCUGUUGAAAAUGAAAUCUAUUUCAAAAGCUUCAA